rnacentral:rRNA from 1 species
UACGGAGGGUGCGAGCGUUGUCCGGAAUCACUGGGCGUAAAGGGCGCGUAGGCGGCCUGAUAAGUAGGGGGUGAAAUCCUGCGGCUUAACCGCAGGGCUGCCUUCUAAACUGUCAGGCUGGAGCACAGUAGAGGCAGGUGGAAUUCCCGGUGUAGCGGUGGAAUGCGUAGAGAUCGGGGAAGAACAUCAGUGGCGAAGGCGGCCUGGCUGGGCUGUUGCUGACGCUGAGACGCGAAAGCGUGGGGGAGCGAACAGG